rnacentral:tRNA from 1 species
UGGGAUAUAGUUAAGAUAUAACAUCUCAUUUACACUGAGAAGACACGCGCUAAGUUGUCCUUA